AGGGCUGUGGGUCAGUGGCUGAGCAUCUGCUUGGCAUGCGGAUAGUCCCAGGUUAAUUCCCUGGCAUUUUGCUCAGCCCCU
rnacentral:tRNA from 1 species